rnacentral:rRNA from 1 species
GACGAACGCUGGCGGCGUGCUUAACACAUGCAAGUCGAACGAAGAGCGAUGGAAGCUUGCUUCUAUCAAUCUUAGUGGCGAACGGGUGAGUAACGCGUAAUCAACCUGCCCUUCAGAGGGGGACAACAGUUGGAAACGACUGCUAAUACCGCAUACGAUCUGACCUCGGCAUCGAGGAUAGAUGAAAGGUGGCCUCUAUUUAUAAGCUAUCACUGAAGGAGGGGAUUGCGUCUGAUUAGCUAGUUGGAGGGGUAACGGCCCACCAAGGCGAUGAUCAGUAGCCGGUCUGAGAGGAUGAACGGCCACAUUGGGAGUGAGACACGGCCCAGACUCCUACGGGAGGCAGCAGUGGGGAAUCUUCCGCAAUGGACGAAAGUCUGACGGAGCAACGCCGCGUGAGUGAUGACGGCCUUCGGGUUGUAAAGCUCUGUUAAUCGGGACGAAAGGC